GGCACUGUGGUAGAGUGGUUAAUACGUUGCACUGCUAAUGCAAUUCCUUCGGGAGCCAGGGUUCGAAUCCCUGCGGUGUCG
rnacentral:tRNA from 17 species